UCUGCGGAAAUGGUUGCCAGAAACAGUAAGGUUAUAUCGCCUUUCACAUUCCAUUAAAACAUCCAACUACAUUAUAGAUAGAACCGCCAAAGUCUCCUAUACACCCUGCUAGAAUAGCCACCAAUUCCACCAAGGGCACUCUCACAUCAUACACCUCCAGGUUUGGCAAAUGCCCAGAAACCUUCAACAAGAUCAUUUAAGUUAAAACACAUGCCACUACGGGGGGAACAUUGGGACACAAGAUAGCGUAAUGAUAGUGUGAACAUAAUCCCAAGCACAUCAAAGAUGCUAGGUGACGUUCUAAAUAUCAUCAUAACACAGGAACAAGCCCACCCGUACUAAUUGGCUACUUAUACACUGAUGAAAAUUAAACUUGUCAACCAUGAAUCAAAA